rnacentral:piRNA from 1 species
UGAAACUGCCCAGUACACAGGCUCAAAGC